rnacentral:rRNA from 1 species
CCUACGGGUGGCAGCAGUCGAGAAUCAUUCACAAUGGGGGAAACCCUGAUGGUGCGACGCCGCGUGGGGGAAUGAAGGUCUUCGGAUUGUAAACCCCUGUCAUGUGGGAGCAAAUUAAAAAGAUAGUACCACAAGAGGAAGAGACGGCUAACUCUGUGCCAGCAGCCGCGGUAAUACAGAGGUCUCAAGCGUUGUUCGGAAUCACUGGGCGUAAGGCGUGCGUAGGCUGUUUCGUAAGUCGUGUGUGAAAGGCGCGGGCUCAACCCGCGGACGGCACAUGAUACUGCGAGACUAGAGUAAUGGAGGGGGAACCGGAAUUCUCGGUGUAGCAGUGAAAUGCGUAGAUAUCGAGAGGAACACUCGUGGCGAAGGCGGGUUCCUGGACAUUAACUGACGCUGAGGCACGAAGGCCAGGGGAGCGAAAGGAUUAGAUACCCCAGUAGUC